UACGAAGGGUGCUAGCGUUGUUCGGAAUCACUGGGCGUAAAGCGCGCGUAGGUGGCUUUGCAAGUCAGGGGUGAAAUCCCACGGCUCAACCGUGGAACUGCCUUUGAAACUGCAAAGCUGGAGUGUUGGAGGGGAUAGCGGAAUUGCUAAUGUAGAGGUGAAAUUCGUAGAUAUUAGCAGGAACACCGGUGGCGAAGGCGGCUAUCUGGACAACAACUGACACUGAGGCGCGAAAGUGUGGGGAUCAAACAGG
rnacentral:rRNA from 1 species